ensembl:lncRNA
CCCCCCCCCCCCCCCCCACAUGCUCCUGUCUGGCUGAUUUACUUAUUUCCGAAAUUCCCUCCGACUGUGAAGGGAUGAUGACACGUACACGGGGAGAAUUUGGCCAAAUUGCCUUCAGCUUGGCCACAUCGCGGCCGUCUGAGCCGCCCGACUGCCACGCGAGGCCCGAAAACACAUGUUAUCUCUCGCUAAUCAAGAGCAAUGGCCUCAAUGUCGAGCCGCCGCACGGCUCUGACCUUUCCACAAUGCUAAUUAUUCUGGAUUUUCUCUCCUUUUCCUCGUGCUCCUUCCCCAGAAGAAGAAAGAAAUGUGAAGCGGCGCAGCGCCAGUCAAUUCCACGGAGGCCGAGUCGUACAUCAUCUUUUGAGUGUAUGGAUUUCUAAUAUCCCGCUACAGCAGUCGAGAUGAUGUAACAGAUAUGGACUCUGAGCACUUACCAAAUAGAUUCCUUAAGGAUAUUCAAAGUGGCUGCAGAGAGACGUUUGAUCAGACUAUUAAAAUGGAUCACCUCAUACACCUUGAAGUGUACUGUGAAAUAUCAAAAGCCCCGCUGGGGGUAAUUAAGGACAUUACGGCGUCCGUUGGUGACCAGUGGAAAGAAGAAUGAAAAACGACUGCUGUUUCUCCUGUUUACACACAAAUGAGUCAAAUCACAGCGACGGAGCUCACGAAAGACGUCUCGACCACUCGUUGGUCCAGGGUUCCCUGGUCCAUGGUUCACUGGUCCAUGGUUCACUGGUCCAUGGUUCACUGGUCCAGGGUUCCCUGGUCCUGUGGUUCCCUGGUCCUGUGGUUCACUGGUCCAUGGUUCACUGGUCCUGUGGUUCCCUGGUCCAUGGUUCACUGGUCCAUGGUUCACUGGUCCAUGGUUCACUGGUCCUGUGGUUCACUGGUCCAGGGGUUCACUGGUCCAUGGUUCACUGGUCCAUAGAUCACUGGUCCAUGGUUCACUGGUCCAGGGUUCACUGGUCCAGGG